AUUGAACGCUGGCGGCAUGCCUUACACAUGCAAGUCGAACGGCAGCGGACCUUCGGGUGCCGGCGAGUGGCGAACGGGUGAGUAAUGCAUCGGAACGUGCCAUUGAGUGGGGGAUAACGUAGCGAAAGUUGCGCUAAUACCGCAUAUUCUGUGAGCAGGAAAGCAGGGGACCGCAAGGCCUUGCGCUCUUUGAGCGGCCGAUGUCAGAUUAGCUAGUUGGUGAGGUAACGGCUUACCAAGGCGACGAUCUGUAGCGGGUCUGAGAGGAUGAUCCGCCACACUGGAACUGAGACACGGUCCAGACUCCUACGGGAGGCAGCAGUGGGGAAUUUUGGACAAUGGGGGCAACCCUGAUCCAGCCAUGCCGCGUGAGUGAAGAAGGCCUUCGGGUUGGUUAAAGACGUCUUUCGGUCCGGGACGGAAUACGCAUGGUUAAGUACCUCGUGUGGAGUGACGGUACCGG
rnacentral:rRNA from 1 species